GCCCUUUUAGUCUAGUGGUUAGGACCUUGCCUUUUCACGGCAAAAACACGGGUUCGAGCCCCGUAAAGGGUA
rnacentral:tRNA from 1 species